rnacentral:rRNA from 1 species
UACGAAGGGGGCUAGCGUUGCUCGGAAUUACUGGGCGUAAAGGGCGCGUAGGCGGACAGUUUAGUCAGAGGUGAAAGCCCAGGGCUCAACCUUGGAAUUGCCUUUGAUACUGGCUGUCUUGAGUUCGGGAGAGGUGAGUGGAAUGCCGAGUGUAGAGGUGAAAUUCGUAGAUAUUCGGCGGAACACCAGUGGCGAAGGCGGAUCUCUGGGCCUUACCUGACGCUGAGGCGCGAAAGCUAGGGGAGCGAACAGG